CCUACGGGUGGCAGCAGUAGGGAAUCUUCCACAAUGGGCGAAAGCCUGAUGGAGCAACGCCGCGUGGGUGAAGAAGGUCUUCGGAUCGUAAAACCCUGUUGUUAGAGAGGAAAGUGCGUGAGAGUAACUGUUCACGUUUCGACGGUAUCUAACCAGAAAGCCACGGCUAACUACGUGCCAGCAGCCGCGGUAAUACGUAGGUGGCAAGCGUUAUCCGGUUUUAUUGGGCGUAAAGGGAACGCAGGCGGUCUUUUAAGUCUGAUGUGAAAGCCUUCGGCUUAACCGGAGUAGUGCAUUGGAAACUGGGAGACGUGAGUGCAGAAGAGGAGAGUGGAAGUCCAUGUGUAGCGGUGAAAUGCGUAGAUAUAUGGAAGAACACCAGUGGCGAAGGCGGCUCUCUGGUCUGUAACUGACGCUGAGGUUCGAAAGCGUGGGUAGCAAACAGGAUUAGAUACCCGGGUAGUC
rnacentral:rRNA from 1 species